GCAUUGGUGAUUCAUUGGUAGAAUUUUUGCCUUCCAUGCAAGAGAUCCAGGUUCAACUCCUGGCCAAUGUA
rnacentral:tRNA from 1 species